rnacentral:rRNA from 1 species
GAUGAACGCUGGCGGCGUGCCUAAUACAUGCAAGUCGAGCGAACAGACGAGGAGCUUGCUCCUCUGACGUUAGCGGCGGACGGGUGAGUAACACGUGGAUAACCUACCUAUAAGACUGGGAUAAAUUCGGGAAACCGGAGCUAAUACCGGAUAAUAUAUUGAACCGCAUGGUUCAAUAGUGAAAGACGGUUUUGCUGUCACUUAUAGAUGGAUCCGCGCCGCAUUAGCUAGUUGGUAAGGUAACGGCUUACCAAGGCAACGAUGCGUAGCCGACCUGAGAGGGUGAUCGGCCACACUGGAACUGAGACACGGUCCAGACUCCUACGGGAGGCAGCAGUAGGGAAUCUUCCGCAAUGGGCGAAAGCCUGACGGAGCAACGCCGCGUGAGUGAUGAAGGUCUUCGGAUCGUAAAACUCUGUUAUUAGGGAAGAACAAAUGUGUAAGUAACUAUGCACGUCUUGACGGUACCUAAUCAGAAAGCCACGGCUAACUACGUG